rnacentral:tRNA from 1 species
GCCUGGGUGGCUCAGUCAGUUAAGCAUCCGACUUCAGCUCGGGUCAUGAGUUAUCUCACAGUUCGCAGGUUCAAGCCAUGCACUGGGCU